rnacentral:rRNA from 1 species
AGUAAACAGUUAUGAUCUUGAAAUUUAAAGAAUUUGGCGGUAAUUAAGUCUAGUUAGAGGAAUCUGUGUAGUAAUCGAUAAUCCACGAAUAUCUUACUUUAUGUAGUAAUAAUACAGUAUGUAUACCGCCAUUAUUAGAUAAACCUUACAAGGAGUUAUUAAAAUUAGUUUUUUUAAACAUAUUAGGUCAAGGUGCAGUUAAUAAUAAAGUUGUCAUGGAUUACAUUAAUAAUUAAUUAUAUGGAUAAAGUUCUGAAAUAGUUUUUUGAAGGUGGAUUUAAGAGUAAUGUGAAAAAAUUAAUUUCGUGUGAUUAAAGCUCUUAAUUAUGUACACA